UGUCGCCACGGCGACGCUGCCGGGCCUUCAGGGGUGGGGUUUAGGGCCUGCGAGUGGAGAGUUCGCGGCAGUUGUUUGGCUGCCGCCCGCGCAUUUCCAACGGUCGUCAGAUGGCCGCUGAGGUGGAAGACCCGGGGUCGAAGGAAUCUGCGUUCUGCCGUGGACCGCGGAUCCCCGCCUGCCCGUCCGCAGGCACCCGGAAGUGAGGACGGCUAUCCUCGCUCCGGUUAGGAAUUCCUCCCGGCACACGCCUUUACCCGGCAGCUGCCACUGGUUAUCUCUUACUGAGCGCCGCACUUUCCCCGAACCUAUCGGAAACGGAGCGCUGACACCGUGGGCUGUACUCUAUGCCCGGAGGCAGGACCUCCUUCCUCCACCCUCGCAAGGUGGAGUCCGGCUUAGGGUCCACGCCCGCCUGGCCAGACUUGCCCUCCGCAGCGUUUCUGCCCUGCCUGGCAUUACCAGCCCAGGAUGCUCCCCAGGGCUCUGGCCGCCUCCUUCCCAUCCCUGGGGAGCCCACGGGCUCCAUUCUCCACGCAGUCAUGCCUCCCUGCUGGCCACCUCCCCCGCCUAACCAUCUCUCCUGCCCUAACCGUAACAGCCCCUCAAGUGAGCUUUCCCUCAGCUACGACCUUCAGAUUCUCACGACCUACCGGCCACACUGCCUUUUGUGCUUUAUGAAAUAGGUCUCAUGCCUUAAGUUAUGUUUUGUAUGUCUCCCAUGCAGUCCUAAAUUGAGGACAGGACCCCUGCCUGCCUCUCCCUGGGGACCCUGGUUGCAUCUCCAUGAGGGCAGAUGGGGUGAAACUCUGAACCACAGAGAAGAGAGUAGAGUGGAUGUUGCUUGUCGGUCAGUUAGAUAACGGGGCUUCUUCAGGAUCACCCUUGCCUCCAUUUUCAGAAGAUCCUGUAGGAAUUUGCGCUGGCUUCCACUUUCCUCAGGCACAGAAACUCUUUGAGGAAGCAGGAUGCUCUUGCUUGGGGUUGACUGUCCUCGGGCUCUAGUGCCCAGUUACCUGAUGAUGGUUGCUUCAGACCUCAUACCUCCAGGGAGCUCUGUUGACCCAUCCGAAGCUCUGCCUACAAGAUUUGGAUUUGUUUUCCACACCAAAACAAAGACCAGAUUGAGACAGGGUCCUCUGCCAUCCCAAGUGGGCACUGCCACUAAUUUCUAAUGCCACCUUGGGAAAGGCAGCCCCAUCUUACUUCAUCAGGCCUAUCCCUUCAGAGACAUGCACAGAGUGAAUGGGUCAGAAGUGGUUCAGUUUCCUUUUUAAGCCUAUUGUUCCAGUUCUGUCUUGCCUCACAAUGCCCUUGAUGACCCAGGAGCCCAUUGGGCAAGAAUCUGGAAUUCCUUUGAGAAUCUCUAGGCUCAUGCCAGGCUGCACAUGGUAUUGCCCAGUCAGAGGCUUCAGCCUCAUCCUUAAGAGGUUGAGAAAUUAAGGCUGAAAGUUCCAAACCUGGCAUCACAUGGUUGGUUUCUCUUAUAUCCAAGGAACCAUCCUGAAGAUUCCCUGGAACAAACAAAGCAGAUGUUGCCACAAUUCCCUGUAUGACUCUACCCAUAAUGUGUUGGAGCUAAUUAACUAUCCUUGCUAGCAAUGGGCUUGGGAAGAAAGCAUUUCUGUUAGGGAAAAGGAUUUGGGAUUUUAAUUCAUAUGAACGAUAAUAGAAACAGCAAGAAGGGACCUGGAGGACAUGGGAACAGGGACAGGGACAGAUGAAAACUGAAAUCAAAAAAGUCAAGUCAUGCAGUCAGACAGUGGAUGAGUGGAGACUAAAACCCAGGACUUCUGCUGUAGGUUAUUUUCAGUUCUGCCACAUUAAAUAUCUGGGUCCAGCUGAAGUUGCAAGUGGUCUUUAUUUUAGCAUUUUCCUAGUAUUUUCAUAUAUUUUCUUUUUUCAAAAACUGAAACUACUCUCAAACUACUUUGAGAGCAGAAAUUCUAUUUCUAUAUUUUAUGUAUAAUUUGAUGCACAUUAAUAGAUUUUAAGUACAAUUUCCAGUC